rnacentral:rRNA from 1 species
GGCGCACGGGUGAGUAACGCGUAUCCAACCUGCCUUACACUCUUGGACAGCCUUCUGAAAGGGAGAUUAAUACAAGAUGUUAUCAUGAGUAAGCAUUUUCGCAUGAUUAAAGGUUUACCGGUGUAAGAUGGGGAUGCGUUCCAUUAGAUAGUAGGCGGGGUAACGGCCCACCUAGUCUUCGAUGGAUAGGGGUUCUGAGAGGAAGGUCCCCCACAUUGGAACUGAGACACGGUCCAAACUCCUACGGGAGGCAGCAGUGAGGAAUAUUGGUCAAUGGACGAGAGUCUGAACCAGCCAAGUAGCGUGAAGGAUGAAGGUUCUAUGGAUUGUAAACUUCUUUUAUACGGGAAUAAACGGAUCCACGUGUGGAUUUUUGCAUGUACCGUAUGAAUAAGGAUCGGCUAACUCCGUGCCAGCAGCCGCGGUAAUACGGAGGAUCCGAGCGUUAUCCGGAUUUAUUGGGUUUAAAGGGAGCGUAGAUGGGUUGUUAAGUCAGUUGUGAAAGUUUGCGGCUCAAC